rnacentral:rRNA from 1 species
UGGGGAAUUUUGGACAAUGGGCGAAAGCCUGAUCCAGCAAUGCCGCGUGUGUGAAGAAGGCCUUCGGGUUGUAAAGCACUUUUGUCCGGAAAGAAAUCCUUGGCUCUAAUACAGUCGGGGGAUGACGGUACCGGAAGAAUAAGCACCGGCUAACUACGUGCCAGCAGCCGCGGUAAUACGUAGGGUGCAAGCGUUAAUCGGAAUUACUGGGCGUAAAGCGUGCGCAGGCGGUUUGCUAAGACCGAUGUGAAAUCCCCGGGCUCAACCUGGGAACUGCAUUGGUGACUGGCAGGCUAGAGUAUGGCAGAGGGGGGUAGAAUUCCACGUGUAGCAGUGAAAUGCGUAGAGAUGUGGAGGAAUACCGAUGGCGAAGGCAGCCCCCUGGGCCAAAUACUGACGCUCAUGCACGAAAGCGUGGGGGAGCAAACAGGAUUAGAUACCCUGGUAGUCCACGCCC